CGUCUUAACAACAGGUAGCAGUAAAAUAGAUUACAAAUGGCAACAUCGUGUGUGAAAUUAAGUGCUGAUGUAUACUUGGUUUGUUUGAAUCAUGCCCUUUCAACUGAAAGAGAAGAAGUAAUGGGUCUUCUGAUUGGCGAGAUAGACCAGAAACGAGUCUCACAUAUUUCUGCUGUGAUCAUGUUGCGAAGGUCAGAUAAAAGAAAAGACAGAGUGGAAAUCUCCCCAGAACAACUCUCUGAUGCCUCUACACAGGCAGAAAGACUAGCCCGUACCUGUGGAAGGCCAGUGCGUGUCUUAGGGUGGUACCACUCACAUCCACAUAUCACAGUAUGGCCAUCCCAUGUUGAUGUACAGACUCAAGCUAUGUAUCAGAUGAUGGAUGAUGGUUUUGUUGGACUGAUUUUUUCAGUAUUUAGUGAAGAAGCUUCAACAAAACAGGGACGUAUUCAAGUUACUUGUUUCCAGUCUAUUAACCAGAGCCCUGAAGGAGAACCACCACAAUACAUGCGCCUAGAAAUCCCUUUGCACAUUGUACCAAGUCCCAGGCUUAGUGGACCUUGUUUAGAGACACUAGUACAGCUACCUCAGAUUUUGUGUCAAGAAGAAUUAGAAGCCUAUAGCUGGACUCACCAAAUCUCAGAUUUGGACCUGUUGACCAGACUUCAUAAUGGUGCAGAAAGAGCAUUUUCCAAAACUUGAAGGACCUAAGAACAAGAGGGAGAGUCAGUUACUGAAAGAAAAUGGGUGGUUUUAUGAAAGGGCUGAGUCUGGGAGAAAUAUUCUCCUGGAGAGGUUCUGGCCACUACUGAGGCAAAACAGCUUAUUCCUGACAUUCAAAGUUUACACAAAGUCUUUGUGCCACAUUGCUGAAGUAGUUGGUGGACCUUUGCUUCAAGUUCUGGAGAGUCGUCUUUCUGAGAAUAAACGGAAAA